GACAGAUCCAUGUUUCUCUGCUGGCUGUAACAAAGUAUUAGAUUUGUUGUAAAAUACAUGAGAUUUAAAUCUAAGACUGGCCACCUUGUCGUCUUAUGAAAGCUGAUAGAUUUGUUGAGCACACGAGGAAGCAGAUGACUGAGUCUGCUCGUAAGUGAAACUGAAGUGCAGUUGUUGUUCCGCUCCACUAGGCGGCGGAAGCGACUUCACGUUCAGUCUGAGCGCUUCCGAUGAGGGACAGAAUGACGCUUGUUGUGACAACAUGUGCAGACCGUUUAAAAUACAGAUCCUGCAGAUGACAGCUCAGUGACAGUGUUUUUAAUAUCAGUAAACAGCAUCUAUUCCAGCACAUAAACAAACAGAACCGACAACCUCUGCGAUAAAGUGCAGGAAUGGAGAGUCACUAUUAAGGGAUGUGUUUGAACAGAAGCAGAGCUCUGGGACGUGUGGACAGACUUUCACUGUAAUGAUGGACAUCCGCUCGUGGACAGAAGUAUAACCCCUGCUGGACAUGGUGCCGGGGCUCGGGGGGGACCCGAAUCGUCCCCAUCCCUUCAUUCACACAACACUCACUCAUAUCGCGGAGAUCUGGCUGGGAUCGAACCAGCAACCUCUGAACCGUGAGGCAGUGCUCUUACCUGUGAGCCACAGAUCUCUUGUCUGAAUGUGUGAAGGAACUUAUAUUUCACUGUUCACCUGCAUGUGCUUUUAUAAUAAACCAGUUAAAGCGUGAAGUUGGCUGAUUGUUGUCACUGAGAUGGGAUUUGAACCCAUGCCUCAAUCACAGUCUUAUCAUCCGAAAACAUCUGAUUAACCACUAACCCAUUGUGGUUUUCACAUUUUGUGCCUGACUUUUGUGGUACUUUGUUGAAUGUGAAGGAACUUAUAUUUCACUAUUAACCUACAUGUGCUUUUAAACUAGUUAAAGCUUUGGCAGAGUCUAUUUCGAAUCACUCCUUCACUCAUAUAGCAGAGAUCUGACUGGAAUCGAACCAGCUGAACCAUGAGGCACCUCUGAACCAUGAGGCAGUACUCUUACCUGUGAGCCACAGAUCUCUAGUGUGAACAUGUAAAAGAACUUAUAUUUCACCGUUCACCUGUGACAUAAACCAGUGAAAGUUUAAACAUGCUGGAGCGGGAUUUGAACCCAAGCCUUUACCAUAACCUUGUUCUCAACCAAUGUGUUUAACCACUAGUGCCAUCGUGGCUUUCACAAUGAGGGCUGUUGUUUGGGGCACUUUGUUGGAUUUAAUGACAGGCUUUGUGGGAAGCACUGUGUUUGGGAAGCAAACGCUCAACCACUAAGCCACAGAGCUGAGGGUGUUUGUUGCAAAAGUUUGUUUCAGGGGUCAUUUAGAUGUUAUGUUUAGCUACAGCAUUAAUUGAGAGCUGCAAGUUAACACAAGUAAUAUUGAGAUUUGAGCUCAGGCCUCCAAGAUUAAAAAAACAACGCUUUACCUCCUACAGACACAGCAUUAAUACUACUACAGUUUAACACAUGUAACAUUUUUAAUCUUCUGAGACACUGACUCUGUGGAUUUCAACUAUGAUUUGAUCGUGAUAUUGAGGACUUUUAAGGCAAAUGAUUAACCUCUGUGCCACAGAUUUGUGAUUUUGUGUCUUGUAAAUUUACAUUGUUAAAACAGAAAGAGAUUAUUGCAUUUAUGAGAUUUGAAUUUGCCUCUGUUGUAGUUUUGUUCUUAAAAGACCUGCAUUUAAACCACAUCAUCAGGUUUUUUUUUUGUAGUGGGAUUUCAGCACAUGUGAAAACACAAGGCUCAAUCCACUGAGCUUUAAGAGCUAAUUUUUGUCACAUAGAAAUAUGAAAAGAAUUGUGUAAAUGUAUUUAUUUUUUUAUGGGUCAUCUUGCUUUUGUCUCCGUGAGCCAACAGCUCUUUUAGAGAUACCACAGCUAACCACUAAAAAAAUUGGUUACGAUUAAAUUUCUUUUGGAUAAAAACAAUUCAUUAUCCACAGGAUUCAUCAGUGCUCAUCUCAGCUUGAUCAACUCAUUCUGAGCUUAAGCCUCAUAGCGGGACUAGAAAGAUUCUUUGUUAUGAGAUGUUGCAGGGGAAUAUGCUUAUAUUAAAUCUGUUUGAUGAGUAAUAAGUGAAAUAUUGUACCAAAUAAACUGUUGCGGGAAAAAAAAAUACAAUCUAUUUAUUAACUAAAGUCUGUCAAAUGUCAGUCUUGUGUUUAAAUGCAUUAAACUGAUAACACCAACACAACUUGUGAACAGCAUCGUUUGUUUAUUGAAAUCAAGUUUUAUAUGAAUUAGAAACAUAGAACCCAAUAAACCUGCCUGUAAUUUUCUAGUAAUCCUAAAGACCUUGAUUAGCUGUUCCAUGUGUUUUUAAUCAG
ensembl:lncRNA